AACAGCAAUAUUAAGUAUGCAGUGCAAUAUGCCAAUUCUUAUUUACAAAACAACAAAACUGGACAAUAGCAGCUUCACACCCUUCUCUUCUUCCAAUUAACCCCACCACCAGGACCCAUGGUGGAAUCCUCCGAAUCACCGUUGAAGCGACGGCCGCCACAUGCCGGUGAUGACAGAAUUAGUCAGCUUCCGGACGUGCUGCUUCUCCAAAUCCUCUCUCUUCUUCCAACCAAACAGGCAGUGGUCACUGGCAUUCUCGCGAAGCGGUGGCGGCCACUGUGGCCGGCCGUGUCGGUCCUCGACCUCGACGACGAGUCCUCUCCGGAGUCCCGCCUCGGUCCCGCGGGCUUCGCGGAGUUUGUGUACUCGGUGCUUCUACUGCACGACGCGCCGGCAAUCCAGCGGUUCCGGCUCCGUUGUGCGAAUCCGAACUCCUCCGCGCGCGACAUCGCGACGUGGCUGUGUCAUGUGGCGCGGCGGAGGGUGGAGAGCGUGGAGCUCUCGCUUUCGCUGUCGCGCUACGUGGCGCUCCCGCGGCGCCUCUUCAACUGCGACACUGUUUCAGCCAUGAAGCUCAACGGCGUGUUCUUCAACGCGCUCGCCUCGUUCUCCGUGCGCUUGCCUCUGCUGAGGGCUUUGCACGUGGGGGAUAGGGUUCUGUUCGGGUGCCACGAUUACGUGGUGAAGCUUCUUGCUGGGUGCCCCGCGCUGGAGGACUUGGUGCUGGAAUCCACUUACAACGAUGCUUGCGGAGGCGUCGUUUGUGCCGAGGGCAAUUUCGAGCUUAGUUUGAAACACUUGACGCGUGCGAAAAUUGGGUUUUCGUGGAAGGAGAGGUGCCUGAAGUCCAUGCUUCUCAUUUUCCAAGCGCUUUCUCACGUUAGGUGCCUCUCGCUUUCUCCCUGUACAGUUGCGUGUUUGAAGCACGCUUCUGCCAUUGAUAUUCCGGUGUUUGACAAAUUAACCCAGCUCGAAAUUUCAUUUGGAAGCUAUUCAUGGGAUUUGUUAGCAAACUUGCUUCAACGUUCCCACAAGCUGGAAGUUCUUAUCAUCAACAAGGAACCACAAAAAUAUGGGAAGGGACAAGAGUCAAGGUGGAGCCAUCCACUCCUCGUUCCUGAAUGCCUUUUACAUCUCAAAACGUUUUGCCUCAGAGAAUAUCAAGGAUUGGAAACCGAGCUGGAUUUUGUAGGGUAUAUUAUGCAAAAUGCUAGAGUGUUAGAGACAAUGACUAUCUACUUAUCAAGCUCCUUAAGUUCCGAGGAAAAACUCCAAAUCCGCAGGCAUUUAUCUAUACUUCAAAGGAACUUUGAAACCUGUCAAAUUGUAUUCAAUUGAAUCAUAUUCUUGAAAGGGGACUUCCUUCCAAUGUUUGAUCCCUUUAAUACCUUCUUUCGUAUUGCUGUGGCAAAGUUCGUGUUGAAGAUUCUGCCAUUAAGCAUGAUAACCUCCCGAAUUUCUUCUCCCCUUUCAUUAAAAGAACAGGAAAGUUCCAGCAGUUUCAAGCGCAGCAAUUUGUAAUCAUUGAAGUAUGACGUAGCCUAUUUUGAUUGGAGAGCAUUUUUGUUUCAGGGUCUUUCAUUUUGUUGUUAGUAAUGCUUUACAGUGUAUUAGUAUCUUUCCCUUGUUAUUGUGAAUACUUCUAAUUUGUCUAAUAUGACCGAAACCUGGCUGACGGAGGCUCGUUAUCAGCUGUAACUUGAAUACCUGUCCCGCCUGGGGAAUUCAUCCUGACGUGUUGCUUUGAGAGAAAAAUCUAUAACUGUUAUUUUUUUUUGCAUACUUCAAAGUUCGGAGCAGCUUUCUCUCGAUAAAUUGUGACCGCUCUGCAGGAUCUUGUAUAACGUCUACAACAACAUUUGUAAGCUGUUUUGUGCUGUUUAGUUUCUGACAUUUGCUUAAUAUAGUAAUGGCAAUGAAUAUACCUGAAUUUUCUUAUUGUUCAAAA